CCUACGGGCGGCAGCAGUGGGGAAUAUUGGACAAUGGGCGAAAGCCUGAUCCAGCCAUGCCGCGUGUGUGAAGAAGGCCUUCGGGUUGUAAAGCACUUUCAGUGGGGAAGAAAGCCUUGGGGCCAAUACCCUCGAGGAAGGACAUCACCCACAGAAGAAGCACCGGCUAACUCCGUGCCAGCAGCCGCGGUAAUACGGAGGGUGCGAGCGUUAAUCGGAAUUACUGGGCGUAAAGCGCGCGUAGGCGGUCUGAUAAGCCGGUUGUGAAAGCCCCGGGCUCAACCUGGGAACGGCAUCCGGAACUGUCAGGCUAGAGUGCAGGAGAGGAAGGUAGAAUUCCCGGUGUAGCGGUGAAAUGCGUAGAGAUCGGGAGGAAUACCAGUGGCGAAGGCGGCCUUCUGGACUGACACUGACGCUGAGGUGCGAAAGCGUGGGUAGCAAACAGGAUUAGAUACCCGGUAGUC
rnacentral:rRNA from 1 species